ACAUUGUAUAUAUAAUGUUGUUGCCUAUACUUGUCAUUGAAAAAUAUUUCUGUUUGUCAGAAUCUUAUUCCUGGCCAACUAAACUCCAUUUUUGUAAAAAAAAAAGAAAUGAAAUGGAAAAAGAAAGAAAAUAGUGUUUGGUUGAGGUUUCUUAAAAACUUUCAUUAAUGUAUUUUUUUCUUUUUUUUUUUUAAUUCUGUUUGUGUGAAUGAAAGAUAUUCUCCUUUAUUCUAAGUCAUCUCAUAAACUCAACUUUUUCCAGAACAGCCAAGAAUUGUAUUAAAAAAAAAUGGUGUUAUUUUACCCCUAGAAUGGGGCCAUGUACAGUGUAGUGGAAAGUUUGGUGAGUGAGAGAAUAAUGACUGCUGCAGUUAUUAUUAGCUAAAAUAGGUUGCCAUUGUGGAAUGUCUUUUUUUCCUUUUACUUUCCACUCCUUUUUACUUUCUUUCUGUCUUCGUAAAACCCAAUCCCAGUCUCUACCAAUUUCUUGAAGAUACUUGCCUGAUGUUUCAAUGUUGGUAGUCUUCUCUCAUGUGAAUUUUCUUUAGUUUUACUGCUGAAGGGGUAAUUAUGGAAGACUGUGUACUGCAGUAAGGUACUAGAAAAGAAAUAAUAAAUUCUAUGUAUGAAAGAAUAUUUUAACUCUUUGCUGUCAGGUAUGGUAUGUAUACCAUGUGUACCAUUUAAUACACAGAUUAAGAAUAUAGAAUUUCUAUACAUGUCAUUUAUUUAAAAAAAAAUAAUAAACACUCAAAAAAACUAACUUAUAGGAAAAUAUUUUCAAAAAAAAAAAAAAAGAAAAUGUAUUUUUAAACAACAUGAGUCAAUAGUUGUGUAAAGGAAUUUCUGGGUAAAGAGAAUAAUGAAUUAUAAUAAUUUCUAAUACAAUUAGUUAAUGGUGAUUAUAUUUUGAAGCUGUUACUAACGCAGUUUAAGGUUCUGGGAUUAUUAGUUUCUUCUUGUUUCUAUAGUUUUCUACAUCAAACAUCUGAGGUGACACAGUCUGCACUGAUUGAUGCAAUGCAACCAGAUGCACAAUAUCCUACUCCUAUGAGACAGAUGCAGGAUGGGUCAAAACAACCAUUGUGCUAUAUAAAGAUUCAUACUAAA